CUCUCUAUUCAGUAAUUCUCAUAACCGGUUCCUGCUCUUCUUUCUUAUUCCUUUCUUCUUGUUCUUAUCUACUUCUUCCUUCGUUUCUCUUCUCGCCCGAAUGCACAGAGAGAGAGACGAGAGAGUGAGAUCGAGAGAUUGAGAGGUAGAUCGAGAGAUUGAGAAGGAGAUCAGAGAGAGAGUUGAGAGCAGAGAGUGAGAUCGAGAGAGAGAUUGAGGGAAAUUAAGAGAGAGGAUCCGGUGGAUCCGUGAGCUGGAGUACCCGUGGCCAGGGGAGGUCCGAUCCUCCAUGUUUUUUGGCGGUCUGGAGGCUGAUCUUCCGGUGGAUGUCGCCGGUGAGCCCGCAACCCGCCAGACCCGAGAGAGAGAACCAGGGCGGUUCGUGGACCCGUGAGCCGAACCCGAUCCUUCCGGAGGUCCAUCCUCCAUGUUCGGCGGCCAGAAGCCGAUUUCCGGCGGGCCAGGUGUAGUUCCGGCCGAACCCCGAAGACCCGUGACCCAGAACCCGUGAGGAAGACCCGGUCCUCCGUGUACGUUUUCCGGCGACUUUUCCGGCGGAAUCAGUGGCUAAUUCCGGUGGAUUUGCUGAGAAAAUCCUUGGGAUGAUGAAUUGAGACUGCACAAAAGGGCUGUAAGUAUAAAUUACUUAUUGAAGGUAGUACUGGAUUUUAAUAGUUUUGUGUUUAUGUUUUAUUUUAAUUGAAUGCGUAUGAAUGAUUAUUGCAUACAGUUAAUAAUUAAGCUAAAAAUAUUGGGAGUGAUGUCUCUCAAAGGUUCAGGAUGGGAAUAGUGCCUGGAACUGAAAACAUAAUAAUUCAUAUUGAUUGGGACGUCUUUCAAAGUGCUAAUAGUGACGUGGAACGUACUCUGCCAGUGCGAAAAUAAGCUAAUAAAAAUGUAAUGUAGAGGGGACGGCUUCGAGAAAGACGUUAAUCAGGUGACGGCUCUAAACGAGAGGAGUGCAAUGACUAUAUUGAACUGUUAAACUUUGCAUAGAAAA